GCUGGAGUGGCGGAAUGGCAUACGCGGUGGUCUCAAAAACCAUUGGGUUUACGCCCGUGAGGGUUCGACUCCCUCCUCCAGCA
rnacentral:tRNA from 1 species